rnacentral:rRNA from 1 species
AACGAACGCUGGCGGCAGGCCUAACACAUGCAAGUCGGGCGAGGACUUCGGUCCUAGCGGCGGACGGGUGAGUAACGCGUGGGAACGUGCCCUUUGCUACGGAAUAGCCCCGGGAAACUGGGAGUAAUACCGUAUGUGCCCGAGAGGGGAAAGAUUUAUCGGCAAAGGAUCGGCCCGCGUUGGAUUAGGUAGUUGGUGGGGGAAUGGCCUACCAAGCCGACGAUCCAUAGCCGGUUUGAGAGGAUGAUCAGCCACACUGGGACUGAGACACGGCCCAGACUCCUACGGGAGGCAGCAGUGGGGAAUCUUAGACAAUGGGGGAAACCUUGAUCUAGCCAUGCCGCGUGAGCGAUGAAGGCCUUAGGGUUGUAAAGCUCUUUCAGUGGGGAAGAUAAUGACGGUACCCACAGAAGGAGCCCCGGCUAACUCCGUGCCAGCCGCCGCCGUAAGAC